UGGAAACCUGUUCCAUCGAAGGCUUCUUCUUCGUCAUUUUCCUUCUUAGCUCCUUCUUCAACAGCUUCCUUUGCUUCGCCAUCUCCGGCAAAAGCUCAGCCUCCUCAUGCCACAUCAGCUGGUGCAAAAGCUUCGCAGCUAUCGGAACCUUCCUUGCCCUCUCUUGUUUCGUCUAAGGCUCUUCCUUCCCCAGUAAAAGCUCAAUCUCCUCAUGCCGCAUCGGCUGGUCCAAUAGCUUCGCUGCAGUGGAAACCUGUUUCAUCGAAGGCUUCUUCUUCGUCAUUUUCCUUCUUAGCUCCUUCUUCAACAGCUUCCUUUGCUUCGCCAUCUCCGGCAAAAGCUCAGCCUCCUCAUGCCACAUCAGCUGGUGCAAAAGCUUCGCAGCUAUCGGAACCUUCUUUGCCCUCUCUCGUUUUGUCUAAAGCUGCUUCUUCAUCAUCUUCCUCCUUAACUCCCUCUUCAACAGCUUCUUCUGCUUCUCCAUCUCCAGCAAAAGCUCAGUCUCCUCACGCCGCAUCAGGCAGUGGAUCUCCUGCAAG
rnacentral:lncRNA from 1 species